rnacentral:lncRNA from 1 species
AGCAAUAUAUAUAAUAAACUAAUAUUUGCAAUUACAAUCUUUGAGAGAGAGUGAUCCCACGAACAUUCCACAUACCUGAGAGAAUUAACCAAUUACAUCAUUUGCAUAAAAUUCAAUCAACAGUUAUCUCAAAUAUACUAAAUGUCCAUUAUGUUUAUUGUGUACAUCAUCAUCGUCUUCCAUGCAUUGUUGUUGUCGUCCAUAUGCCAUUGUUUAUUGUCUCCAUCGGUUGGCCGUCCCAAUGGGACGAGCUGCAUUUCCAUCAUCUUGCUUACAUCUUUGGUCUUUGUGUUCAUUGCACGAGAUAGUUUCUUCUCUUCUGUCUCUUUUUCUCUGUGUGUCUCUGUGUAACUAUGUCUAAUUACUAAAAUGAUAAUUUUUGAAGGAAAUAAACGAGGAACUUUCAAACAAGUUCCAGUUCAAACUGUGAGAGAAGUUCCUUGUUGGCUAUAAUGACUUAUUCUUUAUCCAUUUAAAAAGGAAAAGCAAAGAGAAAGGAACUAGAUAAAAUUUCCUUUUAACAUUUUAACAGAAAAUUAGAUAGAUUUGAAUUACAUAAAUUUUUACAAAUAAUUGUUUUAAAAACUAAUUUUGGGGGUCUCUGGGAUCUCACACUUACAAGGGAACAUCGCACCCGAUGUGUCUGGGAUU